GAUGCGAAUUUUGCCACUCGUCCUCGUAUCCGUGACUCCGCGUGCUGUCGUCUUCCUCCUCAUUCCAGAGCCCACACUCUCACUCUAUCUCUCCCUUCUUCCAGCUCUGUCUCCACCAAUAAUCCCUCUCUCGUCGCCCUCGACCUAGAUGACUAGCUCUCUUUCCCUCGAGUAACCCCUCUCUCUCAUGUUCUGAUGGUGCCAUGGCGGUACGGUUGACGGAUCUGACGUCGACAGCUCUUUCUUAUGCCAAGGGCAAAGAAGAGGGGAUGCGCGCGGGCGCAACGAGUCCUUCGCUGUACACGGAGAGGCAGAGGAGCUACACCAUCGAGCGUUGCAAGUCCAUUGAAUCUGUCCCAUGGGGAGGCAUUUUUGGGACAAAUUGAUGACGAACAACACACAAUUUGUUUGGACUUUUAUGGAACAUUGUGGCAGGCAAUUUUGGACGGUCGGGGUAGGCAUUUUUAUUCAUUUUUGAUACCUGUGGCAGGUAAUAUAGUCCAUACCCUUCUUUCAAUCAAGAAAAAGGACAUUCAGAGAACACAACAAGCAUGUCAUGGACUUAUGUUAGGCAUUUUCCUCCAACUUACAGUAUUUAGUAAAAAAAAUCCACACGUUAAGAUAACAAUUUUCUAGGUUUUUUUGGCUGCUUGCGACAAUUUUAUGGGCAUUGAGACAACAUUUGUAGGGCGCUGUCGACAACCAUGUGAGGCAAUAAUAUGCAGACAACAUCAACAUAUGUUCUGACUUUUGGACACCAUUGUGAGGAGGGGAUGACUUUGAUAUGCACGACGGCAGUGGCGGACCUAGAGAGUAUUUUGGGUGGUGUAGAAGAGCUUGUUGAAGUUUCAAAUUUUCAGUGGGGGCCUAGGCCCCCACUCACCUCAAUGUAGGCCCGCCCCUGCACGACGGGAUACAUAAGAUGGAAGAGGAGGCGCGACGCCGUCCAGAGUGGUGUAGAAGAGCUCCAUGACUGAAGUGGCGCCUUGUACAAGGUGAGUUGUGAUCUGUAACCAAACACUACACAACUAUCCAAGCCAUACGAGAUCACCUUGUUGCAUGCAUUUCUCCUCUAAUGUAUGUUCUUUCUCCACCGCUGCUUAGAGCAGCCAACGGUUCUGCAACUCGCAGUACCUUGAAUAUUUCAACAGGGUAAUUAACUUCCAUCAGCAGAAUUGCCAUGGUGUUGUUUUUGUGCAGAAAUAAAAG